CAAUAAACAGGAUUUAUUCAUUAACAUCCUCCAUAUUCACAGAUAACAUGGAGAGAAUAUCUGCAGAUCAGGCCUUUGAGUUCAUUUGUUGCUGGUUUAACACUUAACUCUUUCUCCAGGUCACGGUAAACCUGACCGAGUGAAGACGACUGACAUCCGAAUCAAGUUGGAGCGAUCACACGAUCAUCAGUCCUCAAACUGUUAGGUUCCACCUCUUGGUUUUAACGCUGAUCCCCAUCUUCAGCAACCCCCAUUCAUUUUCUCUCUCUGGGAGAUGAAAGACAUUCGAGCCUUUGCCAUGAAGAUAACGAAGAGAAGCAGCAGGUGGAGCGGGGUACCUGCACCGAUCGUCAUUGCUUGAAAGACACUAUAAAGGCCAUUCACAAAGAGGGGCCAGUUUUGCACACGUUGCACACUCUUUUUCCUUCCAACUCCUUUCGUUGCCUCUUGUCCUCCGUUGCCAAGCUUUAUGAGUAUUUUUCUACCUUUUUGUUUUUUUUUAAACUGCACAGUAGAUAUCCUAAUCAAACUGCUUCAUCUAAAACAGAAUUAAUGUAGCUUAGCUUCUUUGAUAAAGUUAUGGUUUGUUGGAUCUACAGGAAGAAGCCAGCCCGUUUUCUUGUACUAGUGAGGCUACUUGGUAGAAAAAUACAAAUUAAAAGACAGCAUAGCCCAAAAUGGUGGCACUAAAACCAACAGCGCUAAGACAGAUACUCAUAUGGCCUUAAAAUUUGAAAACUGAUUUAUUUUGGCCUUCCUUCAUUAUUUUAUUCACGUGUUUUGCAGGUGUUGGGACAACAGUAACAGAGAAAGCCAGACAGCAAAUCUGAAUGAGACUCAUUUAAAACAAAAUGUCAUAAACGUGGCGAUACACAUCAACCACACUCUGUCACUGCCUGUAUAGUCUGCAAACAUGUGGAUAUUGUCUCUUCUGGGGUGAUUAACUGUUUAGUCCUUGUCGUCUGUUGGAGCGUAACCCAAUCUGAUCAUAAUCUGAGUUAAGUUUAUUUUUCCAAUUUCUGUCUGGUGUUCAGUAUUUUUUUAUUUAUUGACUUGUUCCCUGUUGUUGACAUUGAUGGCAAGUAUCUAUCCUACCGCAUCUCUGUAUUGACCACAUUCACGAUGUGUCGUAUGUGUUGCUUUUGGCAUAAAAUGUAAUAGCACCUGUAAAGCUCUUUAUGUUUCAGGGGUCAGAUCUUUAUUUUGUGCGGUACAGUUUGCAAUGCAAAUAUGACAAACUGAUGUAUAUUUAUUUGCUUUGAAAGAGACUAAAUAUCUCAAUUUAAAACUACUGACAUUGUAAAUAGCUGUUUUGUUGAAGUAAAUAGUGUAAAGACAUUUUAUUUUAAAUAUGACUGACAUCUGAAAUGACUGCCAAUUUAAUAAUUUACUGUUGUUUAAUUUCUUGUACCCUUAAUAUUAAAAACUAUUUUAUUUGUAGAUCAAUUUUUGGAAGAUGUCCAGACUGUUCUGUGAAAGGGAAGCUAUUGCAAUUUAGUACAUCCAGCUGAUGGUUUCAGUUGCCUUAUGUCAUACACUCACGGUGUAUGUGAAGCUGGUAAAGCAAAUAGUUCAUUCUCAGCAGGAUUUACAAUGAAAUGAAUGUUUUUUGCUUGCUUAUUUUUAUUGUAAAUAAAGGACCUGAGAACUUUAAAGCCUAUUCUUUGAAUGUUCAUGCCAAAAUGGUGUUUUUGUUUUUAGAAAUAAAUACUUAGCUCCAAGUGCAGUACUCUAAAAAGCAGCAAGGUAAGUGUUUUA
ensembl:lncRNA